UAUCAAAUUUAUUGAUGAAUGACCGCAAGGCACUGUAUACUUACAAAUCCUAUCAAACGAAGCAAUUAAAUCAGCAAAGUUGAAACUACACUUCACAACAAGGCACCUGGAGUAUAAAGAUAAAUCCAGAGACUUUUUUCAACAAAGGAAAGAAGAAUAAAACUCAAAUGACAAACAUAACAUCGGUUCUGGAGAAGGCUCUGAAAGCAUCUUUCUUAACGGUACUUUGGAUUGCAAAGAAUAAAAAAUCCCAUAACACUGGAGAAGAACUGAUUCUGCCCGCUGCUUUCAAAAAGUGUGAUGUGUUGCUUCAGCUGUAUGGCCCAGGGAGAGUGUCUCUUUUCUAAGAGGAUCCCAGGGCCCUGGGCUGCAACCUGGAGUAGACACAGGAGGCGCUGACUCAGAUUGUGGGGAAGAUCACUGAGGAGAGCAAAUCUGCCAAUAAGCGCAGGACCCACCAAGGUAGAGAAGGAACUUUGUCAUAGUACAUAACACUAACACUUGUGGCAAUUAAAAGAACCUGAUCAUAUAAAGAUUAUAGUCAGAUGGAGGCCCAUACUUCAAUCACGAAGGAGUCUUGCAUUCUUCUGCAUGUGAAAACUACACCCAAUGCAUGCCCCUUUAUUCCCAUUCUUGAUAUCUCUGGCAUAAUAAAUCACGCUUGCUCUAUACUCUCCCUUCUUUGAAUUGCUGAAACAGUUGUUUCAUUUUACUUCUCUAGCUGCUCUUUCAGCAUCUCUUGGGAACCUCUCCCUCCCAGACUGUCCCAUUUCACCUUAAGUACCAGGUGAUAGCCCUCUCUUUUUCUCUCUAUACCUGGGCUCCUGGCACAAUGACCAAAUUUCACAGCAAUAAAUUCUGUUGCAAUGUGUUCUCGCUGAACUAUCUUUCAGUCCCUUUCUUCCUCCCCCAGCACAAGACUUUGGCUCAUAGUUGAAAUAAUCAUUGCUGAAAAUAGCCAUCAGCAAAUCUUACCCAAUGAUUUGCAAUAGUGGCUUUUCCCCCCCUCUAUCUUCUUCAGAUACAGUUCCACAGACCAUGGCAGUUGUGAUAGUAUCCAGGCAGGCCAGCUCAGAAACUCCCUCCCGCCA